rnacentral:rRNA from 1 species
UAGGGAAUAUUGCAAAAUGGGCGAAAGCCCGAUGCAGCAACGCCGCGUGGGCGAUGAAGGCCUUCGGGUCGUAAAGCCCUUUUUGAGGGGAUGAGGAGGGACAGUACCCUCAGAAUAAGCCUCGGCUAACUACGUGCCAGCAGCCGCGGUAAAACGUAGGAGGCGAGCGUUAUCCGGAUUUACUGGGCGUAAAGCGCGUGCAGGCGGAUUGGAGAGUUGGAUGUGAAAGCUCCCGGCUUAACUGGGAGAGGUCGUUCAAUACUUCCAGUCUUGAGUGCAGUAGAGGGCAGUGGAAUUCCAGGUGUAGUGGUGAAAUGCGUAGAUAUCCGGAGGAACACCAGUGGCGAAAGCGGCUUCCUGGACUGUAACUGACGCUCAGACGCGAAAGCUAGGGUAGCAAACG